CGGGCUGUAGCGCAGCUUGGUAGCGCGUCCGUCUGGGGGACGGAAGGUCGUGAGUUCGAAUCUCGCCAGCCCGACCA
rnacentral:tRNA from 2 species